rnacentral:rRNA from 1 species
UACGAAGGGUGCAAGCGUUACUCGGAAUUACUGGGCGUAAAGCGUGCGCAGGCGGUCUUUUAAGUCAGAUGUGAAAUCCCCGGGCUUAACCUGGGACUGCGUUUGAAACUGGAAGGCUUGAGUGUGGCAGAGGGGGGUGGAAUUCCACGUGUAGCAGUGAAAUGCGCAGAUAUCAGGUGGAACACCAGUGGCGAAGGCGGCCUUCUGGGCCGAUACUGACGCUGAUGCGCGAAAGCGUGGGGAGCGAACAGG